ACGCGGUGAAUACGUUCCCGGGCCUUGUACACACCGCCCGUCAAGCCAUGGAAGUUGGGGGUACCUAAAGUAUGUAACCGCAAGGAGCGUCCUAGGGUAAACCGAUAACUGGGGCU
rnacentral:rRNA from 1 species